AUUUAACGCUGGCGGCAGGCCUAACACAUGCAAGUCGAACGAGUGGCGGACGGGUGAGUAAUGUCUGGGAAACUGCCUGAUGGAGGGGGAUAACUACUGGAAACGGUAGCUAAUACAGCAUACCAUCGGAUGUGCCCAGAUGGGAUUAGCUAGUAGGUGGGGUAAAGGCUCACCUAGGCGACGAUCCCUAGCUGGUCUGAGAGGAUGACCAGCCACACUGGAACUGAGACACGGUCCAGCCUCCUACGGGAGGCAGCAGUGGGGAAUAUUGCACAAUGGGCGCAAGCCUGAUGCAGCAGUGCCGCGUGUAUGAAGAAGGCCUUCGGGUUGUAAAGUACUUUCAGCGGGGAGGCGUUACCCGCAGAAGAAGCACCGGCUAACUCCGUGCCAGCCGCCGCGGUAAUUC
rnacentral:rRNA from 1 species